rnacentral:misc_RNA from 1 species
CGCUGUACGUUGGUGCGACUGGCACCAGAACUCCUACGCCGACAAGCAUACAAAGUCGUAUACGCAAUUCUUCUUUUCGUUGGACACUCCCUGGCCAGAGACCUGUGUAUUUGUGCACUAUCCUAUCCUCUACGCAGAGACAAGCACACGAGAAUGUACCGUGCGUCGCGCCGCUUCCUCCACACACCGUCGAUUCGGUUCACGUACGCCCUUGCCAAGAGCUGCGGAAGCGCCGGCGGUGCAGGCGCAACGGCCUCCCCAAGUGCGGGGAAGAACGCACCUAGGCAGACCAUUCUCGAGUCCUUCGACGAACUUCCGAAGCACCUCCGCCCUCAUGUGUUUGAGGAGAUCGAAAUCGAGACGAUUCACAUGGGUGGCGCCGCCUCGUACGUGCCGAAACACCUCCAGAAGAAAAAGAAAUAGGCGGCAGCGGCAGUGCUUGCCACUCGCCGACGAGCGAACGAAGGAACGGGGUACAAGCACACACGUACACACACACACACACACACAUACGCUCUCUGUGAUGCACAUCUGCCGCUUUCCCACGUGCAAAGGUACCGACGAAUGCUCGCGAGCCACAUGGAGCGAGCGGCGCAGGGGUCAGCGCAGGCGCGGUCUCGCUUUCCCUCCAUGCCCGGCAUCCGACAACACUCCUGGUGCGAUGAACCCACUCGCAGACUUAUCGACACCGCUGCACAGCUAUCGCAGCAAAGUCGUCGCUGUGCUUUUCACCUCUCCCUCCCUCUUUCGUCAAGCCGCCCAUGGAAAAGGUGAAGACGCAAGUGGACGCGAGGGGCAGUGGACAGGCCAGCUAGCGCGACCGUUCCCAGCGGGGCAGCAGAGGGGAAGGUUAACACGUACAUAUAUAUAUAAAGCGCCUUGAAUCUUUUUCUGUCGUCAUCUCGUGUACUCGUGCGUGCGAGUGAGUGCCGACUGCACACUCUCGUCACUUCGCCAUCAAUCAGCCACCCUCUGAUUGUGCGUGGGUGCGCUGCUGUGCCGUUCACAAGCGGUUACGACGGUGAGUUGUUGUCAUGUGAGCGUGUCUUACGCUGAAGCAAGUUGAUCUUUCUUGUCUUCCUCUCUCUCUCUCUCUCGUGCUUGCUGUUGGGUGCGCGCGCUGGCGAAUGUGCGUGGGUUUGUGCCUCGCCUCUGCAACUGCGAGCCGAGGCGAACGACGAGACGGGCAAAGAAGGGAGGUGGCGCGCGUGAGGCGAGGGGCAUUUUGCAUGGAUGCAUCGCAGAGCGCCCCCCCCCCCCCCCCCCAACGGUGCCGGUGCAGCAGCUCUACACUGCAUCUUUCCUUCUCUGACACCGGCGCCAGCAGGGCCUCAAAGGCACAUACCCUUUUCGGAGUGACGCCAUCGGGCGAGUGGCAGGUGUGG